rnacentral:tRNA from 1 species
GUUUCCGUAGUGUAGUGGUUAUUACGUUUGCCUAACACGUGAAAGUUCCUGGUUUGAAACCGGGCGGAAACA